CCUCCCUUAUAUCCUCAAGCAAAAGCAAGGGACAACAGCAAAAAAUGGCAUUUGAUACAGAGCAAAUGACUCCGUCCAUGCUUGAUCGUACCUAACAUAACGAUGUGCUAACUUUUUACUGUUCACUCGACUGACUCGACCUGAAGCUGACGCCGUGGUAUUCCCUAAUCAUCUGAAGUUGCACGACAGAAAUCGUCGUAUAGAGACUCUGACAUCAAUAUGCAUUUGCUUUCAGACUAAGAAACACAUCGCAAGUGAACCUGGGCUAAGCAGUGAUGGAAUGUUAGAAGACUUGAAGAAAGAAUUGCGGACGAACACUAGUAGUUAACCUAAGGACUCUGUGAUAGACGUUCGGAAAACUCUAUUAAGCUGGGUCGCUGAAUUAUUUGAAGGCGAUGAGCAGGCACGGAAGAUGAUCGUAACUGGAAUCCGUAUCAUACCUCAACAUCCAAAGAGCAAUACACGUACGCACUCUUCAAGAGUGCCUCUAUGGCCAGCCUUUUUAUGAUUUACUAAUUCUGUAAGGCGAGAGCAGGCCUAAGGUGGAGGCCCAUCAUAUUUUAACAGAAGGAACAACCACAAAUGUUGUUUACGCGUCAUAAAUGGAUGACAUCGUUGGCAUAUUAGCGCGAGUUCACAGAACGAGUCUACGGAUUCAGAUAAGCUGUUUGAAUGACUGGCUUCCCCGUUGGAGUGCUAUGAUCGCUGGAUGCAGACAAGGCAUAUCGUCAUAUGACCACUUAGAAUUCCUCGUCGUCAAAUCUCCCGCCCCUGUCGUCAGGACAUGUAUUAAGCCAAUUUUGGUGAUGAGCUUAUUUUAUAAAUCCUUAGAGCAGCUCGUCGUUAUAUGCGUACUUUAUAAUUACGCUUUAUAAUUAAGAUAUCUUCUUUUAACACUGUAUACAUCGGUCUCGUUCUGAUAUUGAAUAGUUGCAUUCUAUUUAGACAGGAAAAACUAUCGUUAAGAUUAUAGCAAGAUAUGACCUCGCGGUUAGCAAGAA